GAUGAACGCUGGCGGCGUGCCUAAUACAUGCAAGUCGAGCGAACGGACGAGAAGCUUGCUUCUCUGAUGUUAGCGGCGGACGGGUGAGUAACACGUGGAUAACCUACCUAUAAGACUGGGAUAACUUCGGGAAACCGGAGCUAAUACCGGAUGAUAUUUUGAACCGCAUGGUUCAAAAGUGAAAGACGGUCUUGCUUUCACUUAUAGAUUGAUCCGCGCUGCAUUAGCUAGUUGGUAAGGUAACGGCUUACCAAGGCAACGAUGCAUAGCCGACCUGAGAGGGUGAUCGGCCACACUGGAACUGAGACACGGUCCAGACUCCUACGGGAGGAAGCAGUAGGGAAUCUUCCGCAAUGGGCGAAAGCCUGACGGAGCAAAGCCGCGUGAGUGAUGAAGGUCUUCGGAUCGUAAAACUCUGUUAUUAGGGAAGAACAUAUGUGUAAGUAACUGUGCACAUCUUGACGGUACCUAAUCAGAAAGCCACGGCUAACUACGUG
rnacentral:rRNA from 1 species